rnacentral:misc_RNA from 1 species
UUUCCGUAGGUGAACCUGCGGAAGGAUCAUUACUGAGUUUUGGAUGAUGUUGUUCUGGUCUUUCGGGGCAAGUGAACGCUUCUCCCAAUCCAUCUUACACCUGUGCACCUAUCGGGGAAGACUUGGAUCUAAGUUGGGUCACGACGGCGAUCUACAGUCUCCUCUUUAUACCAAAUAACAGUUUUAGAAAGUCUUUUUUGCUUGAUGCAAACUUAAAUAAAUACAACUUUCAGCAACGGAUCUCUUGGCUCUC